CUCUACCGGUUUUUCCUGAAGACGUGCCCAAGGCUUAUCAGCUCAAGAAAAAGGUGUGACAUGAGUGACUGCUCUUCAGGAUCGAUUGAUAUCUACAUAGUUCAAGUUUACUUCACGCUCUACUUGAUAUAUAAUGACAUGUUUAUUACAUGGAACAUUUUAUGAUGCCGAAAGACCGAAACAGGACAAUGACCCAACACACCUCCAGGCUGUAUAAGGGCUAUUUGACCAAGAAGGAGAGUGAUGGAGUGCUGCAUCAGAUGACUUGGCCUCCACAAUCAUCCGCCCUCAACCCAAUUGAGAUGGUUUGGGAUGAGUUGGACCACAGAGGGAAGGAAAAGCAGACAAGUGCUCAGCAUAUGUGGGAACUCCUUCGAGACUGUUGGAAAAACAUUCCAGGUGAAGCUAGUUGAGAGAAUGACAAGAGUGUGCAAAGCUGUCAUCAAGUCAAAGGGUGGCUUCUUUGAAGAAUCUAAAACAUAUUUCGAUUUGUUUAAAACAUUUUUGGUUUCUACAUGAUUUCAUGUUAUUUCAUAGUUGUGAUGUCUUCACUAAUAGUCUACAAUGUAGAAUAUAGUAAAAAAUAAAAUAAAACCCUUGAAUGAGUAGGUGCGUCCAAACUUUUGACUGGUACUGUAUGUAAAUAAGAUAAUGUUAUUUUUAAUAAAUUUGCACAAAAAUAACUUCUGUUCAUAUUAUUUUUUUGUAUGUAGAUUGAUGAGGACAAAAAAGUUUUUAAUCAAUUUUAGAAUAUAACUAAUGUAACAAAAUGUGGGAAAGUGAAGGGAUCUGAAUACGCUAUAUGUGACUUGCAAGAAGGGUUGCACAAUUCUGGUACAUUUUCCAGGAAUCCUGGUUGGAAAAUUCCUUAAAUAUUAUCAA